GAUGAACGCUGGCGGCGUGCCUAAUACAUGCAAGUCGAGCGAACAGACGCGGAGCUUGCUCCUCUGACGUUAGCGGCGGACGGGUGAGUAACACGUGGAUAACCUACCUAUAAGACUGGGAUAACUUCGGGAAACCGGAGCUAAUACCGUAUAAUCUCUUGCACCGCAUUGUUCAAUAGUGAAAGACGGUUUUUCUGUCACUACUAGAUGCAUCCGCGCCGAAUUAGCUAGUAGUUACGGUAACGGCUUACCAAGGCAACGAUGCGUAGCCGACCUGAGAGAGGGAUAGGCCACAUGGGAACGUGAACACGGUCAAGGCUCCUGAGGUAGGCAGCAGUAGGGAAUCUGACGCAAUGGGCGAAAGCAUGACGGAGUAGGGGGGAGUGAGAGAUGAAGGUCUUGGGAUCGGAAUACUGGGUUAUGAGUGAAGAACAAAUGUGGAAGGAAAUGUGCACGUAGUGACGGUAACGAAUAAGAAAGCAACGGCUAACUACGUG
rnacentral:rRNA from 1 species